AUUGAACGCUGGCGGCAGGCCUAACACAUGCAAGUCGAACGAGUGGCGGACGGGUGAGUAAUGUCUGGGAAACUGCCUGAUGGAGGGGGAUAACUACUGGAAACGGUAGCUAAUACCGCAUAACAUCAGAUGUGCCCAGAUGGGAUUAGCCAGCGGGGGGGUUAACGGGUCACCAAGGCGACGAUCCAUAGCUGGUCUGAGAGGAUGACCAGCCACACUGGAACUGAGACACGGUCCAGACUCCUACGGGAGGGAGCAGUAGGGAAUAUUGCACAAUGGGCGCAAGCCUGAUGCAGCCAUGCCGCGUGUAUGAAGAAGGCCUUCGGGUUGUAAAGUACUUUCAGCGGGGAGGCGUUACCCGAAGAAGAAGCACCGGCUAACUCCGUGCCAGCAGCCGCGGUAAUUC
rnacentral:rRNA from 1 species